rnacentral:snRNA from 1 species
UACUUUGCGCAGUGGCAGUUACAUAACCAUGAAGUUAAUCUGAGUGUGAUUAUUGCUAGUUGAAAACUUUUCCCAAUAGCCUGGUGUCACAGCCAUUAUGGAGUGAGCCACUUUUC